GAUCCUUUUGUGGUAAAUGAAUGAAUAUAUAAAAUUCUAACUACAAAAGAAAAUAUAUAUAUAUAAGGCAGAUGAAACAAGGGUCUAACCAACAAACUCAACCCCAAUGCAAGGAAGAGAAAUAAACCAACUCCAAACAACUGAGCCAAAAGAGAAGAGCCAAAAUGGGCAGCAGUCGCAUAGGAAGCAAGUCCCCAUGUAAUCAAAAUGCACGCAUGAUCUUUACUUUUUCUAGUUUAUCUGGCAGUGCACAAUAUAUUAACUUAUUAUAUAUGAACUUAUGAAGAGGGUACGGUCGGGGAGACAUCCGAGCAAUUUACGGCGCUUUUGAAAAGCCAGCCCACGCAGCAGCAGCUUUCGCCUGCUCUCUGCUUUUUGGCGGCUCACUCUCUGACGGGCGACCCCCUCUUUUAACUUACCUUUUCAAUUCCUCUCUCACGCAUAAAUUAUACAAUGCAUGCUUGAUGCUUGCUCGUAUUUCAGUUGAAAAGAAAUCCAUCACAGCUCACAGCUGCAUGCAUAUGUACGUAAAUAUACACACACACAUGCUCUUUAAGGAAACAGUGACGGAUUCGGGAUUUAACUCUGAGGGUCGCAAUGCAAAAUAUUGUGAAAAAAUAUUAGAUGAAAAUAGCAUGAAAUGGUAGUAUUUAUAUUAUAAUUUAGGAUAAAGAUAAAGAGUUUGUCUUCCCUUGUUCAAACUACCAAGUUGAAAAUCGGUUCGGAGAAAAGCUGUUGAGAUAUAAAGGCACAAAGAGUUUUUGUUGGAAAAUUAUUUUAUUAUUUUAACUUUUUU
rnacentral:lncRNA from 1 species